ensembl:lncRNA
UGAGAAUGCUAAAUAUCUCAUUCGUCUGAAUGCCUCAAUGCUAAUAAGUUCUGCCUUUCAGCAAGUGUUUUAAAGGCCAGUAGGCUGUCCAAUCAGUGUUAAUUUCCAGUGCUAAUUUAGAUUUCUUUUGAGGGAUAGGAAAGACUAGGAAAGAGUAAAGAGCUUUUCAUGAACUAGACUUCAGACCUGCAGUUUGAAAACCUUAAGAUUAAAAAGAUGGCGUCAUCAGCAAUACAUGGGUGUUUAUGUCGUACAUACUUCAUUAUUUCUUUUUCUUUCAGGUUUUUUCUUUGUUCGUACAGAUGAUUGAAAUUAACAGUAGAACCUUGCUUCUGUAACAAAAAUUGAAAUAAACAGUUUAAAAAUAACAGUUUAUAAUAAUUUUAGGUACGAUAUUAAGUUGCAACUGUUCUUGUACUUUAAGCAGCUGCUUUAUAGAUUGACCUGUUAUAUCAUGAGACUGAUCUUUGCAUAUUGUCUUAGUCAUAGUCUUGCACACUCAUCGACUGCAUGUACUGAACACUGAAGUUCCCCAGUCAAAAAAGUGAAAAAAGGUAAAGUACUUCAUACUAAUUUUGUUCAAAAUCUUUGAGUUCAUUCCUCAUUUUUAAAAGCUCAGCGAGAGUUUUCUCACACUGCAGGGCUGACUCAGCUAUAAGAUGUGCGGCCUUUACAUCCUCUGUCAGUUCGUUUAUUUCAUUUCGAAGUCCCUGAAACUUUUCAAUGUCUGAAAGAGUUGUUUUUGCUUGUGCUCCAGAUGCUGUUCUUACAAAGGAGGAGUUUUCAUUCAGUUCAUCCGAGAAUGUGACGAUAUCAUCCAGGAUGGUCUUCUGUGCUCCGAUAAUGGUCAUGAAUUCUUCAACCAAAGCUUUCAAACUUUUCAUCAUGUCCUGCUCUCCGUUCAGCCAUCUUUCGUGUUCCAUCUCUGACAAUGCUCACUUUCAUCUGGUUGCUGGUUCGUUUUGGCAGUUCAGUCCCUCACAGCUUCAGUCCACACUACUCACCUGCCAGCCCUCCGCCCACAGUCAUUGCACUCCACGGAUUCCCUGCCCUGGAACCUGGCUGCCUCACCCCGGACCUCUCGACCCCCCUUUUGCCAGUUCUCCACCUGCAAACUUGUACUGACUCCCUGUUGCAUUUCCUGAAGCCCAUGCUCUUCCCCAG